rnacentral:rRNA from 1 species
GAUGAACGCUGGACGGCGUGCUUAACACAUGCAAGUCGAACGAAGCAUACAGUAAGGAUUUCUUCGGAAUGAAAGACAGUAUGACUUAGUGGCGGACGGGUGAGUAACGCGUGGGUAACCUGCCCCCAGACCGGGGGAUAACAGUCGGAAACGGCUGCUAAUACCGCAUAAGCGCACGGUACCGCAUGGUACAGUGUGAAAAACUCCGGUGGUUUGGGAUGGACCCGCGUCCGAUUAGUUAGUUGGUGAGGUAACGGCCCACCAAGACCGCGAUCGGUAGCCGACCUGAGAGGGUGACCGGCCACAUUGGGACUGAGACACGGCCCAGACUCCUACGGGAGGCAGCAGUGGGGAAUAUUGCACAAUGGAGGAAACUCUGAUGCAGCGACGCCGCGUGAGCGAAGAAGUAUUUCGGUAUGUAAAGCUCUAUCAGCAGGGAAGAUAAUGACGGUACCUGACCAAGAAGCCCCGGCUAACUACGUG